rnacentral:pre_miRNA from 1 species
NNNNNNNUUUGACUGUCCGUCUUAUAUAAAAUUUUUUUUGUAAUUAGUAUUUUCAUUGCUGUUAGAUGAUAAAACAUGAUUGAUACUUUACACGUGACUUGUCUUUUUAAUUUUUUUUAUAUUUUUUUAAAUAAAACGGACGGACAAACGUUGGACAUGGAAAACCAGGGUU